ensembl:lncRNA
UAAAAGGCCUCUUUUUUUCCCCAGUUACAGUCACUCUCUUUGCAAAUCGUACAUGCAUUUGUCACAAGGUGACGAUCUUUAGGGGCGGAACCAAAAUUCGGGAAGUUUGGUUCCGCCCGGAAGUGUUUCCGCCCGGACCGGAAAAACAGAACACCGGAAUUUCCGGUAGCGCCGUAAGAAGGAAAAUCAGGGAAUUCGAUGCACCUGUGCCUAGUUAGGGACAGCGGUUGGUGAUUGGAGGAUACGCUGGACAAGGCAGUACUUAAGGCCAAGUUAUUUCACAGUCUGGGCGCUCUUUCUGGCUGGAAUUGUAUGAUUGUGAAGACAUCACGAACCUUAAAGGUUGAGAAGUGAACGGAUUAUACGGCGAACUGAGACGAUGUGAAAAAGGGGAUUGGAAGCGGCAUUGAUGUGAGUACUAAGAGCCAGUCGAAAGUGCCCUGUAUAUUGACCUGGCGUUGUGUAGAUCUCUCCAGGAGGAGGAGGGCGGCCCUACCCCUAAUAUAGCGUGGUGGGAGAGCCGAAGGAAUACUUAUUGAAGUAGUCACAACGACGACAUCACUAGCUAGGCCGCAUAUUCCAUCGCCAGAUCCGAACCAAGCGAAGUGAAGGAAGACGGGUGUCCUUUUCGUACACUGAGUGUGGUGGGUGAGUCUUCAUGCUGUGAAAACCUAUAAUUUUGACGUGGUGCUGUAUAUUGCUGUGGGCUGCUGUGUAUUGCCGUGUGUCCUGUCAGAUAAACCCCCGCCUUCACGCACUUCGUCGCGGGAGGACAAGGAGACUGCUGGUCCUAGCCUAGUUCAGUACAGUAUAUGUUGUGAGCGUGCUUCAGAUCUCCGGAGAUAGCACAGUACGCUGUGUCCAGCCCAGAGGUGAAAGCCAUCCAAAGCAGAGUAACUGUGCUUUGCGUCCAAGUUGAUACCUGUGGAGAGGAAAGGAAAGAGAGAGUGAGUAACACAAGGAGAAACAGAGGAAACCUGUACUUACAGUACGCUGUGUUCAGCCCAGAGGUGAGAGCCAUUCAAAGCAAACUAACUGUGCUAUUGUGCCCAAGUUGAUACCUGUGGAGAGAAAAGGAGAGAGAGUGGGUAACACGAGGAGAGACCGAGGAAACCUGUACUUACGCCGCUGCCUGUGGAGAAAGAGAAAGCGACCGUUGCCUGUGGAGAAAGAGAAAGAGUGAGCACCUCGAGAACGAACUGUGUGAACCAGUACUUACCGUGAGCUGUAUUCAGCGAAGAGGAGGAAGAAGGAGGGCGCUACGGAUACCUAAGACUCAGGCCGGGGCCCGAGUCCCACGCCCCGGAUCCCCGUGGCCCCCUUGCUCCCUGACCUCUUCCCGGCCAUAGCCCAUCUGGAGGGCCGAGUCAGAGUUUAGUUUUAAUUGCCCUUUCCCUAUUCCCCAAGC